rnacentral:rRNA from 1 species
CGGGAGGCAGCAGUAGGGAAUCUUCCACAAUGGACGCAAGUCUGAUGGAGCAACGCCGCGUGAGUGAAGAAGGUUUUCGGAUCGUAAAGCUCUGUUGUUGGUGAAGAAGGAUAGAGGCAGUAACUGGCCUUUAUUUGACGGUAAUCAACCAGAAAGUCACGGCUAACUACGUGCCAGCAGCCGCGGUAAUACGUAGGUGGCAAGCGUUGUCCGGAUUUAUUGGGCGUAAAGCGAGCGCAGGCGGAAGAAUAAGUCUGAUGUGAAAGCCCUCGGCUUAACCGAGGAAUUGCAUCGGAAACUGUUUUUCUUGAGUGCAGAAGAGGAGAGUGGAACUCCAUGUGUAGCGGUGGAAUGCGUAGAUAUAUGGAAGAACACCAGUGGCGAAGGCGACUCUCUGGUCUGCAACUGACGCUGAGGCUCGAAAGCAUGGGUAGCGAACAGGAUUAGAUACCCUGGUAGUCCAUGCCGUAAACGAUGAGUGCUAAGUGUUGGGAGGUUUCCGCCUCUCAGUGCUGCAGCUAACGCAUUAAGCACUCCGCCUGGGGAGUACGACCGCAAGGUUGAAACUCAAAGGAAUUGACGGGGGCCCGCACAAGCGGUGGAGCAUGUGGUUUAAUUCGAAGCAACGCGAAGAACCUUACCAGGUCUUGACAUCUAGUGCCAUCCUAAGAGAUUAGGAGUUCCCUUCGGGGACGCUAAGACAGGUGGUGCAUGGCUGUCGUCAGCUCGUGUCGUGAGAUGUUGGGUUAAGUCCCGCAACGAGCGCAACCCUUAUUAUUAGUUGCCAGCAUUAAGUUGGGCACUCUAAUGAGACUGCCGGUGACAAACCGGAGGAAGGUGGGGAUGACGUCAAGUCAUCAUGCCCCUUAUGACCUGGGCUACACACGUGCUACAAUGGGCAGUACAACGAGAAGCGAGCCUGCGAAGGCAAGCGAAUCUCUGAAAGCUGUUCUCAGUUCGGACUGCAGUCUGCAACUCGACUGCACGAAGCUGGAAUCGCUAGUAAUCGCGGAUCAGAACGCCGCGGUGAAUACGUUCCCGGGCCUUGUACAC